CUGCCAUUAUUUAGUAUCGCACUUUAGCCGUUUUCCAUCUCCAAGUGGUGCCCGCAACGACUUAAUAUUGCACGAAUCGAUAUUCCAUCCUUGUGCAUGAUGGCAGCAGUACGAUGUUCAGUCGCUAAAUACCAAUUUUGAGGUCUGCUCCCCCCACGUUGAGAGAGAGAGAGAGUGGGCUUCAGUGGCGGAGAUGUGGGCGUUGUCCUAUGGGGAGCGGUAGUGCAAGCGGGUUGGACUGCUGCGCUAUGAACCCGGUGGAGCCCGAGUUCGAUUCCCGCUCGUGGUCAACGCUAAUAACGAAUAUCGGAACUGGUCCUGGGCCUCCCCUAGAUCUACUCUGCCUCGUGGCGGCUGCUGGACUUUGGCCUCGCGCACGCGGCCCCUGGGAGGUGUGGGACAGCAGAAGACGCGCUCGCCAAUGAUGCAGAUUUACUCGCUUGCAUGAAAGCCACGCAACUUUCCCCCCUUCAGUGUGGC